rnacentral:rRNA from 1 species
GGUUAAGCGACUAAGCGUACACGGUGGAUGCCCCUGGCAGUCAGAGGCGAUGAAGGACGUGCUAAUCUGCGAUAAGCGUCGGUAAGGUGAUAUGAACCGUUAUAACCGGCGAUUUCCGAAUGGGGAAACCCAGUGUGAUUCGUCACACUAUCAUUAACUGAAUCCAUAGGUUAAUGAGGCGAACCGGGGAACUGAAACAUCUAAGUACCCCGAGGAAAAGAAAUCAACCGAGAUUCCCCCAGUAGCGGCGAGCGAACGGGGAGCAGCCCAGAGCCUGAAUCAGUGUGUGUGUUAGUGGAAGCGUCUGGAAAGGCGUGCGAUACAGGGUGACAGCCCCGUACACAAAAAUGCACAUACUGUGAGCUCGAUGAGUAGGGCGGGACACGUGGUAUCCUGUCUGAAUAUGGGGGGACCAUCCUCCAAGGCUAAAUACUCCUGACUGACCGAUAGUGAACCAGUACCGUGAGGGAAAGGCGAAAAGAACCCCGGCGAGGGGAGUGAAAAAGAACCUGAAACCGUGUACGUACAAGCAGUGGGAGCACGCUUAGGCGUGUGACUGCGUACCUUUUGUAUAAUGGGUCAGCGACUUAUAUUCUGUAGCAAGGUUAACCGAAUAGGGGAGCCGAAGGGAAACCGAGUCUUAACUGGGCGUUAAGUUGCAGGGUAUAGACCCGAAACCCGGUGAUCUAGCCAUGGGCAGGUUGAAGGUUGGGUAACACUAACUGGAGGACCGAACCGACUAAUGUUGAAAAAUUAGCGGAUGACUUGUGGCUGGGGGUGAAAGGCCAAUCAAACCGGGAGAUAGCUGGUUCUCCCCGAAAGCUAUUUAGGUAGCGCCUCGUGAAUUCAUCUCCGGGGUAGAGCACUGUUUCGGCAAGGGGGUCAUCCCGACUUACCAACCCGAUGCAAACUGCGAAUACCGGAGAAUGUUAUCACGGGAGACACACGGCGGGUGCUAACGUCCGUCGUGAAGAGGGAAACAACCCAGACCGCCAGCUAAGGUCCCAAAGUCAUGGUUAAGUGGGAAACGAUGUGGGAAGGCCCAGACAGCCAGGAUGUUGGCUUAGAAGCAGCCAUCAUUUAAAGAAAGCGUAAUAGCUCACUGGUCGAGUCGGCCUGCGCGGAAGAUGUAACGGGGCUAAACCAUGCACCGAAGCUGCGGCAGCGACGCUUAUGCGUUGUUGGGUAGGGGAGCGUUCUGUAAGCCUGUGAAGGUGUGCUGUGAGGUAUGCUGGAGGUAUCAGAAGUGCGAAUGCUGACAUAAGUAACGAUAAAGCGGGUGAAAAGCCCGCUCGCCGGAAGACCAAGGGUUCCUGUCCAACGUUAAUCGGGGCAGGGUGAGUCGACCCCUAAGGCGAGGCCGAAAGGCGUAGUCGAUGGGAAACAGGUUAAUAUUCCUGUACUUGGUGUUACUGCGAAGGGGGACGGAGAAGGCUAUGUUGGCCGGGCGACGGUUGUCCCGGUUUAAGCGUGUAGGCUGGUUUUCCAGGCAAAUCCGGAAAAUCAAGGCCGAGGCGUGAUGACGAGGCACUACGGUGCUGAAGCAACAAAUGCCCUGCUUCCAGGAAAAGCCUCUAAGCAUCAGGUAACAUCAAAUCGUACCCCAAACCGACACAGGUGGUCAGGUAGAGAAUACCAAGGCGCUUGAGAGAACUCGGGUGAAGGAACUAGGCAAAAUGGUGCCGUAACUUCGGGAGAAGGCACGCUGAUACGUAGGUGAAGCGACUUGCUCGUGGAGCUGAAAUCAGUCGAAGAUACCAGCUGGCUGCAACUGUUUAUUAAAAACACAGCACUGUGCAAACACGAAAGUGGACGUAUACGGUGUGACGCCUGCCCGGUGCCGGAAGGUUAAUUGAUGGGGUUAGCGCAAGCGAAGCUCUUGAUCGAAGCCCCGGUAAACGGCGGCCGUAACUAUAACGGUCCUAAGGUAGCGAAAUUCCUUGUCGGGUAAGUUCCGACCUGCACGAAUGGCGUAAUGAUGGCCAGGCUGUCUCCACCCGAGACUCAGUGAAAUUGAACUCGCUGUGAAGAUGCAGUGUACCCGCGGCAAGACGGAAAGACCCCGUGAACCUUUACUAUAGCUUGACACUGAACAUUGAGCCUUGAUGUGUAGGAUAGGUGGGAGGCUUUGAAGUGUGGACGCCAGUCUGCAUGGAGCCGACCUUGAAAUACCACCCUUUAAUGUUUGAUGUUCUAACGUGGACCCGUGAUCCGGGUUGCGGACAGUGUCUGGUGGGUAGUUUGACUGGGGCGGUCUCCUCCUAAAGAGUAACGGAGGAGCACGAAGGUUGGCUAAUCCUGGUCGGACAUCAGGAGGUUAGUGCAAUGGCAUAAGCCAGCUUGACUGCGAGCGUGACGGCGCGAGCAGGUGCGAAAGCAGGUCAUAGUGAUCCGGUGGUUCUGAAUGGAAGGGCCAUCGCUCAACGGAUAAAAGGUACUCCGGGGAUAACAGGCUGAUACCGCCCAAGAGUUCAUAUCGACGGCGGUGUUUGGCACCUCGAUGUCGGCUCAUCACAUCCUGGGGCUGAAGUAGGUCCCAAGGGUAUGGCUGUUCGCCAUUUAAAGUGGUACGCGAGCUGGGUUUAGAACGUCGUGAGACAGUUCGGUCCCUAUCUGCCGUGGGCGCUGGAGAACUGAGGGGGCUGCUCCUAGUACGAGAGGACCGGAGUGGACGCAUCACUGGUGUUCGGGUUGUCAUGCCAAUGGCACUGCCCGGUAGCUAAAUGCGGAAGAGAUAAGUGCUGAAAGCAUCUAAGCACGAAACUUGCCCCGAGAUGAGUUCUCCCUGACCCUUUAAGGGUCCUGAAGGAACGUUGAAGACGACGACGUUGAUAGGCCGGGUGUGUAAGCGCAGCGAUGCGUUGAGCUAACCGGUACUAAUGAACCGUGAGGCUUAACCUU